UUCCGUAGGUGAACCUGCGGAAGGAUCAUUAA
rnacentral:rRNA from 5 species